AUUGAACGCUGGCGGCAGGCCUAACACAUGCAAGUCGAACGGUAACAGGAAGAAGCUUGCUUCUUUGCUGACGAGUGGCGGACGGGUGAGUAAUGUCUGGGAAACUGCCUGAUGGAGGGGGAUAACUACUGGAAACGGUAGCUAAUACCGCAUAACGUCGCAAGACCAAAGAGGGGGACCUUCGGGCCUCUUGCCAUCGGAUGUGCCCAGAUGGGAUUAGCUAGUAGGUGGGGUAACGGCUCACCUAGGCGACGAUCCCUAGCUGGUCUGAGAGGAUGACCAGCCACACUGGAACUGUGACACGGUCCAGACUCCUACGGGAGGCAGCAGUGGGGAAUAUUGCACAAUGGGCGCAAGCCUGAUGCAGCCAUGCCGCGUGUAUGAAGAAGGCCUUCGGGUUGUAAAGUACUUUCAGCGGGGAGGAAGGGAGUAAAGUUAAUACCUUUACUCAUUGACGUUACCCGCAGAAGAAGCACCGGCUAACUCCGUG
rnacentral:rRNA from 1 species